GAAAGGAAGGGUUUGCUUUUUUUAGCCAAAGGAGUGUGAAUGACAACUGGCUGGACUUGUUGAAGCUGGAUUUGCCAACAGAGAGAGGACCUGAGCUAAGGGUGAAGGUAAAAGGGGCAAGCCAUCCGGCCCGACCCUGUCACAGAAGCUAAUGGAAAGAUUCUAUCAGCACUGAUAAUGCCCCUAAAGGAGUAAGUCUGUUAUUGGUAAGAUCACCUCUAUACUGGCAAAACAGGAGUUUGCACUGGUCCGUGUCUGGGUUUCACAGAUUCUGUAAGAAGUAGCUAAAGUAUCCUGCUGAUGGCUGCCUAUUGCAUCACUCUCAUUGAUCCAUCGCUAGGAGACCAUGUGUAUUCACAGAAGCGCGUCUGCUAUUAACAUUUCUAGCC